rnacentral:rRNA from 1 species
UGCCAGCCGCCGCGGUAAUACCAGCAGUUCAAGUUGCAUCCAUUUUUAUUGGGUCUAAAACAUCCGUAGCUUGUUGUAUAAGUCUCUUGUGAAAUCCUAUGUCUCAAGCAUAGGGUUUGCAGGAGAUACUGUACAGCUAGAGAUCGGUAGGUGUGAAGAGUACGCCGAGGGUAAUGGUAAAAUAUGUUAAUCCUCGGUGGACUAACAAUGAGCGAAGGCACUUCACAAGGACGAAUCUGACAGUGAGGGAUGAAGGCCAGGGGCGCAAAACGGAUUAGAUA